rnacentral:rRNA from 1 species
GAGUUUGAUCAUGGCUCAGGACGAACGCUGGCGGCAUGCCUAAUACAUGCAAGUCGAACGAGGUUUCCUUAAUGAUAGUUGGUGCUUGCAUCAACUUGACUUAAGAUCUAACCGAGUGGCGAACUGGUGAGUAACACGUGGGGAACCUGCCCUUAAGUAGGGGAUAACAUUUGGAAACAAAUGCUAAUACCGUAUAACAACAUAAACCACAUGGUUUAUGUUUGAAAGAUGGCUCUGCUAUCGCUUUUGGAUGGACCCGCGGCGUAUUAGCUAGUUGGUGAGAUAAUGGCUCACCAAGGCGAUGAUACGUAGCCGACCUGAGAGGGUAAUCGGCCACAUUGGAACUGAGACACGGUCCAGACUCCUACGGGAGGCAGCAGUGGGGAAUUUUGCGCAAUGGGGGAAACCCUGACGCAGCAACGCCGCGUGGAGGAUGAAGUCCCUUGGGACGUAAACUCCUUUCGACCGGGAAGAUGAUGACGGUACCGGUGGAAGAAGCA